rnacentral:rRNA from 1 species
AUUGAACGCUGGCGGCAUGCCUUACACAUGCAAGUCGAACGGUAACAGGUCUUCGGAUGCUGACGAGUGGCGAACGGGUGAGUAAUACAUCGGAACGUGCCUAGUAGUGGGGGAUAACUACUCGAAAGAGUGGCUAAUACCGCAUGAGAUCUACGGAUGAAAGCAGGGGAUCGCAAGACCUUGUGCUACUAGAGCGGCCGAUGGCAGAUUAGGUAGUUGGUGGGAUAAAAGCUUACCAAGCCGACGAUCUGUAGCUGGUCUGAGAGGACGAUCAGCCACACUGGGACUGAGACACGGCCCAGACUCCUACGGGAGGCAGCAGUGGGAAAUUUUGCACAAUGGGCGCAAGCCUGAUCCGGCCAUUCCGCGUGCAGGAUGAAGGCCCUCGGGUUGUAAACUGCUUUUGUACGGAACGAAACGGUCCUGGUUAAUACCCGGGGCUAAUGACGGUACCGUAAGAAUAAGCACCGGCUAACUACGUGCCAGCCGCCGCGGUAAGAC